CAUACCCUCAUUUUUAUACUGGAGAACUUCACUGCAGCAAUUCCUGAUCAUCGCUACUGGGUCCAGAGUCUUGACAAUGACAUUGUCUCUGGUAAUGACACUGGGAUCCUCAGCCAAGAUGCCCUUAGAGGAUCUCCAUUCCCCUAGAUCCAAAUCUAAAACCAGAAAAGUGUCGUCGCUUCCUCUAUCCCCAGUGGCAGCUCCUUCACUUGAAUGAAACUGUCACCAACACAGCUGAGGCAGACACGGAGCCCUGUGUGGAUGGCUGGGUGUAUGACAGAAGCUACUUCCCCUCCACCAUCAUAACUGAGGUUUGGGCGGAAGGUGGUCUACCUGUGGUGCUUACUCCAGCUGGGCAUCGUUGACACCGCAGCAGCUUUCACCCCCACCUUCCUCAUUUACUGCAUAUUACGCUUCUGGGCUGGGUUGAGUGUCACGACUAUUAUGAUACAUUCUUUUUGUCUCAUGUCAGAUGGACAACAUCCCAAAGGAAGUCUGUGAGAAUAGUCCUGAUGAUGUCUCCUACAAUAUUGGGCAAAUCUUCCUUGGAGGACUGGCUUUUACCAUUCAAAAGUGGUACACACUACACCUGGCUGUGUCUAUACCCUUGCUUGUCCUCCUCUUGCCCUCCAGGUAUGAAGAGUCUCCACAUUCUAUCCAAGGGAAGCCAACAUGAGAACAUAAGGGUGGUGUCACUGGGUAUCUAUAUGGUCCCAAUACUGGUCCUAACCCCAUUAACACCCAUUUUGCCAUUCAAGAUGCAAGAAAUGAAAUAGAAAGGAAGUCUGAAUGGAGAUUGGCAAUUUGCAGUCACCAUUUUUGCAUACUAGGCACAAAAUUAUCAUGAAAUAAUUGUAAUAGAAAAAAUCAAAAAUGUUAUCAUACUUUCAUGAGUGCAGAAUAAUAAUAUAUAAGAGUGAGGAUCAUUGUGACAUACUCAAAAAUGCACAUAACAUAAUUUGUGAAAUUUCAUUUCCCAGUAUCUCCUCUUUCCCCACCCUCCUAAUAUCCUCCUCUACUCGUCUGGUCUCUCUUAUACAUGUUACUUUCUUAAUUAGUGCACUAUGAUUAUAUAUAAAAGUGGGAUUCAUUGUGGUUUGUUCAUACAUACACAUAGCAUAAUUCAGUUAAUUUCAAUAUCCAGUAACUCCUUGGCAUCCUUUCCUCCCCCACCUUUCUCUACCAUCCUCUGCUUUACUGUUCACCCUUCUAUUUUCAUGAGCUCCUUCUAUUUUAUUCCUUUUUUCUCUCUACCUUCCACAUAUGAAAGAAAAUAUUCAGUCUUUGACUUUCUGAGUCUGGCUUAUUUCACUUGCAUUAUGCUGACCAAGUCAACCCAUUUACCUGCAAAUAACAUAAUUUCAUUCUUCUUUAUGGCUGAAUAAAACUGAAUAAUAAUGCUUCUCAGUGAGGUAGAUGUUUAAUGGAUUUCAGUAAAAUUCAAUACUGAACAGUCAGAGACACAAAGAGGCCCAGAAAUACUGAUGUUUCAAAUGUAGGAUAUGAAAAUGUACUUUAGUGCCAAGCUAGUGGUGGCUACAGCUCUGGGUCACCAAAGAUGAGAGAGGUAUAAAGAAAGAAGCAGCAGAAAAAAAUGUCAUGGAGACACCAAUAGAAUAGAAAGGAAGUCUGAACUUAGCUUAUUCUGGAUCUAUACUUGGAGUUGAUGAUUGAAAAGUGCUCUGUCUCUGUAUUUCUCAAGUUGAGAGGAGAGAGCCAAAGUGGGAAGCCAACUCAUGGAAGUCACACUUGACGUGGGGAACACCUUUGCUACAGGAACCAAUAGAAAAGAUUGACACAGCAUCCUGGCUGGCAUCUACCAUAUGGCCUAGAAUGCAUGCCAUUGAAACAGGCACACAGAAGAUUUUAUCUAGGAGAAUCAGCUCAAAGAUACAGCGGGGAUGGCAACUUACUUUCCCUUGGAGUGUGAUGCUCACUCAAUCAGCUGAAGAGAUUCAGGAAACAAACAGGCAGGCAUGAUUAUAUUCAAGGAUUGAGUCUUGUAAGGCCAUAGUCCUAGGUGGUGGAGUGUGCUAUGACCUGUUGUGCCCCCUCCACCGAGGGAAGUUGGUUACCCUAUGAGUAAAAUUGUCAAGAAGUGUCUGGGAUUGGGACAACCAGAAGAAACUGGCAUCUGCCUGGCCCUAUGGGUUUGUUGAUCUUAUCUCUCCAGAAUAUGAAAAAGUUCCAAUCAUGGAUAGAUCCAAACUGUGAAAACUUUCCAUUUAGAAAUUUGCAUCAUCCCUCUCCUAGUCAAGUGAUAUUUCUCUUUCCAACCUACCUUGUACUGAUGAGCAAGAAACUAAGAGUCAUUUCAACUAACUUUGAGUCAGGACACUCCAUAUUUGGUUCUAGGUGUAGCAAUCAAUACAAAAGAAGGAAAGGUUUAAUA